rnacentral:piRNA from 1 species
UGGUUAUAUAUGAUUUGUAGUAUAGAUAC